GUGUUCCAGCUGCUGGUGCUAACAAAGAUCUGAGGUUAUACACACAUGACCUAUCACCCACACCCACCCGAUUGGGAGGGGUUGCCUCUCCCUGUGUCCACACAUAUGCCUUGAGUUGCUCUUCAGUGAAUAUCACUUUUCCUUUCAUGUUUUUUCUACAUGCUAUUAUCUGUAUGAAAUGAAGACCAAGAAAGGAUGGGAAGAAGGAGAAGAAAAAUUUUGAUUUAUCUCAGAAACUAUACUCCGAAGUGAGAGUCCUGGUUGCAGGAUCAUCACAUUUUGGAGUUCUCAGUCCUGUGUACAAAGUCCAACUAUCUGAGGCCACCAUGCACUUAGGAUGUCCAGGCCACCUGGAGAGGCUACCAGAUAUGUGUAUGAAGAAGUUGUCUUGAAAGUGGAUCUUCCAGCCCAUGUUAUUCUAGCUACAGCUGUUUGAGUCUCCUUGUACAAGCCCCAGACAUCAUGGAAUGGAGAAGAGCUGAGCCACGGUGUCCUCUCCAAAUUCUCAAUCCACAAAACUCAUGAAAAUAAUAAAAUGAUUGUGUCUUUGUGCUACUAAAUUUAGGGAAAUUUGUUAUUCAGCAAAGAUGAUUAGAACAAGAGACCACAAUUUGACUAUCAUAUUUCAGAAAUGACACAGAUCCAGAGAGGUUAAAUAAAUCAUUUUAUUCAAAUGAAG
rnacentral:lncRNA from 1 species